rnacentral:rRNA from 1 species
UGUGGAACCACCCGAUCCCAUCCCGAACUCGGAAGUGAAACGCAGCUGCGCCGAUGGUAGUGUGGCUCAAGCCAUGCGAGAGUAGGUCAUCGCCAGGG